AAUUAAUGAGCUUGAAUAAGCAUAUGUUUUGAAAACAUAAGAAAAAGAUUUUAUCCUUUAUUAAUUU
rnacentral:tRNA from 1 species